GAUGAACGCUGGCGGCGUGCCUAAUACAUGCAAGUCGAGCGAACAGACGAGGAGCUUGCUCCUCUGACGUUAGCGGCGGACGGGUGAGUAACACGUGGAUAACCUACCUAUAAGACUGGGAUAACUUCGGGAAACCGGAGCUAAUACCGGAUAAUAUAUUGAACCGCAUGGUUCAAUAGUGAAAGACGGUUUUGCUGUCACUUAUAGAUGGAUCCGCGCCGCAUUAGCUAGUUGGUAAGGUAACGGCUUACCAAGGCAACGAUGCGUAGCCGACCUGAGAGGGUGAUCGGCCACACUGGAACUGAGACACGGUCCAGACUCCUACGGGAGGCAGCAGUAGGGAAUCUUCCGCAAUGGGCGAAAGCCUGACGGAGCAACGCCGCGUGAGUGAUGAAGGUCUUCGGAUCGUAAAACUCCGUUAUUAGGGAAGAACAAAUGUGUAAGUAACUAUGCACGUCUUGACGGUACCUAAGCAGAAAGCCACGGCUAACUACGU
rnacentral:rRNA from 1 species